rfam:Parcubacteria bacterium GW2011_GWA2_38_27 TS88_C0023, whole genome shotgun sequence.
GCCGGAGUAGUUUAGUGGUAAAACAUUUUCUUGGUAAGAAAAAGAGCACGAGUCCGAUUCUCGUCUCCGGCU